rnacentral:rRNA from 1 species
UACAGGGGGGGCAAGCGUUGUUCGGAAUUACUGGGCGUAAAGGGUUCGUAGGUGGCCAACUUAGUCAGACGUGAAAUCCCUCAGCUUAACUGGGGAACUGCGUCUGAUACUGGAUGGCUUGAAUCCGGGAGAGGGAUGCAGAAUUCCAGGUGUAGCGGUGAAAUGCGUAGAUAUCUGGAGGAAUACCGGUGGCGAAGGCGGCAUCCUGGACCGGCAUUGACGCUGAUGAGCGAAAGCUAGGGGAGCAAACGGG